ACAAACCAAAGCCAUCUGGAACGAGGAAGUACAAAACAGGGGAGGGUCCGCGUGGAUACGACUUGAACUCUCACAUUUUAAAUCUAAAGUGGUAAAAACUACACAUACAGUAAAGUAUGGAAACACUUUGGGUUUCACACAUUGCCAGGAAAAGCAGAGCU